AUGGAGCCCCGCCGGCGAGAUCCUGGGGAGCCAGCCCCUGUAUAUGGUGAUUUUGAUGGCCAAUUCACAGUAGAGAUUCAUCACAAAGGAUUCUUCUCUAGAACUGACAACAAUAGGAGCUACAUUGACUAUGAAGUUGAUUGGUUCGAUCAUUGUGACUGUGACACUUGGUCUAUACUGUGGAUUGAAGACUUUGUGAAGCAGCUGGGCUAUGACCGAGAGACAUGGCAGCAUGAUGUAUACUGGUGUCUACCUGGAAGGACAAUUAAUGAAGGAAUGAGAGAGAUGAAGUGUGAUGCUGAUAGCCUUGCAAUGAUAGCAGCUAGCACAGUACAUAAGAAUCUGUUGCUGCUCGUAGACCAUGGGGAGACAGUGAACAACCUUCUUACAGAUGAUGUUACAGUUGAUGCACUGCCUGAGUUGCCAAAGGUCAUAACCCCCAAAAAAGAUGGAAAGGGCAAAGAACAAGCUAGCUCAACUAAAGUGAGAAGUAGAGCAAGGAGAUUGUUUACUGAAGAAGAAAUGGAGGAAGAAGGUGAAAAUGGUGCAGCGGAUUCAGAAACAGAUGAGGAAUUCUAUGACAGUGACUAUGAUAUUAUGGAUGGGGAUGAUGAUUUGUAUGAGGAACAUGUUGACAAAGAGGUGGAUGAUCAUAGAGAAAAAGUUUAUACAUGUGACUAUGAAACAGAACUAGCAGAAGAUGCUCUAGAUGAUCCUACCAUAAUGCUAUCCAAAGAAGAGAGGGACAAGCUCAAGUACAACUUCAAGGGUUUCAACCCAGAAACUGAUUUGAAUGCCCCUGUAUUCAGAUUAGGUAUGGUGUUUGGUACUGUUGAGGAGCUAAGGCAUGCUAUUACCUCUUAUAGCAUCAGAAACAGAGUUGCAAUUAAAAAGACUAGGAACACAUCAACUACAGUAGAAGCAGAAUGCAUUGAUGAUUGCCCAUGGUACUUGAAAGCAGGGAUGGACAACAGGAAAAAUAGCUUUGUGAUCAAGAAAUACUGUGAUGAGCACACGUGUCCUAAGACAUGGAAGCUGAAGGGUCUAACUGCUCCAUUUUUAACCAAAAAAUUCAGAGAUGAGUUCAGGGGCAACGAAAAGAUGCCAUUGCAGAAAUUCGAGGAGAAGGUUCAGCAGGAGUACAAUCUAAUUCCAAGUAGGAGCAAAUUGGGAAGGGCUAGAAGAGCAUCAGUAAAGCAGAUCAGAGGUGAGGAUGAUGACCAAUAUAAGAUGUUAUGGGAUUAUGGAGAGGAGUUGAGGCAAACAAACCCUGGCAGCAAGUUCUACCUUUGCACAAAGGAGAUUUUUGAUGAAAAGACCAAGGAGACAAAGGAACAUUUUUCAACUUUGUACUGGUCAUUGGAUGCAUGCAAGAGAGGCUGGUUGAUGGGGUGUAGGCCAACAAUAUUUGUAGAUGGAUGUCACAUUAAGACCAGGUACAAAGGGAAUUUACUGACAGCUGUGGGUAUUGACCCCAAUGAUUGUAUUUUCCCCAUAGCAUUUGGGAUUGUGGAAGUGGAGUCCACUAGCAGCUGGGAGUGGUUUUUGGCUAGCCUAAAGGAUGAUCUCAAUAUAUGCAACACCUCUCCAUACACAAUCAUGAGUGAUAAGCAGAAGGGUCUUAUAGCUACAGUUGCAAAGGUGUGGCCAGACGCUGAACACAGGUUUUGUGUCAGGCAUAUGUAUCAAAAUUUCCACAAGCUUCACAAGGGGGAACAACUAAAGAACAAUAUGUGGGCCAUUGCAAGGCUACGGACACUCCAACAUACAACAAAGCAAUGGAGAAGAUGA
rnacentral:rRNA from 1 species